rnacentral:misc_RNA from 1 species
GAAAUGCGAUAAGUAGUGUGAAUUGCAGAAUUCAGUGAAUCAUCGAAUCUUUGAACGCACAUUGCGCCCCUUGGUAUUCCAUGGGGCAUGCCUGUUCGAGCGUCAUUUGUACCCUCAAGCUCUGCUUGGUGUUGGGUGUUUGUCCCGUCUCCGCGCGUGGACUCGCCCCAAAGUGAUUGGCAGCCGGCGUACUGGUCCCGGAGCGCAGCACAUGUCGCGCAAACGAGUGCCUCGGUACGGCGGCGUCCAUAAGCCCCUCUCUCACGCUCUUGACCUCGGAUCAGGUAGGGAUACCCGCUGAACUUAAGC